CCCCUCCACCUCCUCCACCACGCGACGGUUCUUCCCCUCCUCCUCCUCCACCACGUGACGGUUCUGCCCCUCCACCGCCUCCUAGUGGACCCCCUUCAACAUAGAGGCCUUCUCCUCCAAACCCAAACCAAGUGUAGACGAACGAAAAGCUGAUUCCACGCAGGACUAGAAGACUGCUGUUUAUCAAAUGACAACGAAUUUAGUCUUUUACCAUUAACGACAACGAAUGGCAACCAAUCUUAAAUAUGAGUUUCCUUAUGAUGAUCUAGGCCUUUCAUGUAGUUUUGUUUUUCUUCUAUACGAUCAUGAAAUGAUAAGAGAUGAAAGAUUGGGUAAAACUAAAC